rnacentral:rRNA from 1 species
GAUGAACGCUGGCGGCGUGCCUCAAACAUGCAAGUCGAGCGGGGCUAUGUAAUAUCGCAAGGUAGAACAUAGCCUAGCGGCGAACGGGUGAGUAACACGUGGGUAACCUGCCUGGAAGACAGGGAUAACGAUUCGAAAGGGUCGCUAAUACCUGAUAAUAUCCUUUCAUCGCAUGGUGAUAGGAAGAAAGGGGAAACCCGCUUUCAGAUGGGCCCGCGUCCCAUCAGCUAGUUGGUAAGGUAAAGGCUUACCAAGGCGACGACGGGUAGCCGGUCUGAGAGGAUGUACGGCCACACUGGGACUGAGAUACGGCCCAGACUCCUACGGGAGGCAGCAGUUGGGAAUCUUAGGCAAUGGACGAAAGUCUGACCUAGCGACGCCGCGUGAGGGAAGAAGGCCUUCGGGUUGUAAACCUCUGUCAUGGGGGAAGAAGUAAGUGACGGUACCCCAAGAGGAAGCCCCUGCUAACUACGUGCCAGCAGCCGCGGUAAAAUACUCUAU